rnacentral:rRNA from 1 species
UGUAAGCGUAUACCAAAGUUGUUGCAGUUAAAACGCUCGUAGUCGGAAUUUGGCAGUUCCGGAUGUGUGCACGUCGUGUGCGCACUUCGCGGGGAUUGCUUGUGUGGUCUUGCGUAGGAUGAGGCACUUUUAUUAGUGAACGUCCUCACGCAACCACUUUUUACUGUGAGAAAAUCAGAGUGCUCAAAGCAGGCAUUUGCCGUGAAUGUAUUAGCAUGGAAUAAUAGAAUAGGACUUGGUUCUAUUUUGUUGGUUUGUUGGGACUGAGUAAUGAUUAAGAGGGACAGUUGGGGGCAUUUGUAUUUCGGUGCUAGAGGUGAAAUUCUUAGAUUACCGAAAGACAAACUGCUGCGAAAGCGUCUGCCAAGGAUGUUUUCAUUGA